rnacentral:rRNA from 1 species
GACGAACGCUGGCGGCGUGCCUAAUACAUGCAAGUAGAACGCUGAAGGAGGAGCUUGCUUCUCUGGAUGAGUUGCGAACGGGUGAGUAACGCGUAGGUAACCUGCCUGGUAGCGGGGGAUAACUAUUGGAAACGAUAGCUAAUACCGCAUAAUAGUAGAUGUUGCAUGACAUUUGCUUAAAAGGUGCAAUUGCAUCACUACCAGAUGGACCUGCGUUGUAUUAGCUAGUUGGUGAGGUAACGGCUCACCAAGGCGACGAUACAUAGCCGACCUGAGAGGGUGAUCGGCCACACUGGGACUGAGACACGGCCCAGACUCCUACGGGAGGCAGCAGUAGGGAAUCUUCGGCAAUGGACGGAAGUCUGACCGAGCAACGCCGCGUGAGUGAAGAAGGUUUUCGGAUCGUAAAGCUCUGUUGUAAGUGAAGAACGAGUGUGAGAGUGGAAAGUUCAC